rnacentral:rRNA from 1 species
AUUGAACGCUGGCGACAUGCCUUACACAUGCAAGUCGAACGGCAGCACGGGUGCUUGCACCUGGUGGCGAGUGGCGAACGGGUGAGUAAUACAUCGGAACAUGUCCUGGAGUGGGGGAUAGCCCGGCGAAAGCCGGAUUAAUACCGCAUACGAUCUACGGAUGAAAGCGGGGGACCUUCGGCCCUCGCGCUAUAGGGUUGGCCGAUGGCUGAUUAGCUAGUUGGUGGGGUAAAGGCCUACCAAGGCGACGAUCAGUAGCUGGUCUGAGAGGACGACCAGCCACACUGGGACUGAGACACGGCCCAGACUCCUACGGGAGGCAGCAGUGGGGAAUUUUGGACAAUGGGCGAAAGCCUGAUCCAGCAAUGCCGCGUGUGUGAAGAAGGCCUUCGGGUUGUAAAGCACUUUUGUCCGGAAAGAAAUCCUUGGCCCUAAUACGGUCGGGGGAUGACGGUACCGGAAGAAUAAGCACCGGCUAACUACGUG